rnacentral:rRNA from 1 species
GAUGAACGCUGGCGGCGUGCUUAACACAUGCAAGUCGAACGAAGCACUUUGAAAGCUUGCUUUUAGAGUGACUGAGUGGCGGACGGGUGAGUAACGCGUGGGUAACCUGCCUUAUACAGGGGGAUAACAGUUGGAAACGACUGCUAAUAGCGCAUAAGCGCACAGUGCCGCAUGGCCCAGUGUGAAAAACUCCGGUGGUAUAAGAUGGACCCGCGUCUGAUUAGCUAGUUGGUGAGGUAACGGCUCACCAAGGCGACGAUCAGUAGCCGGCUUGAGAGAGUGAUCGGCCACAUUGGGACUGAGACACGGCCCAAACUCCUACGGGAGGCAGCAGUGGGGAAUAUUGCACAAUGGGGGAAACACUGAUGCAGCAACGCCGCGUGAGUGAAGAAGGCUUUCGGGUUGUAAACUUCUUUUGUCAGGGACGAAGUAAGUGACGGUACCUGACGAAUAAGCCACGGCUAACUACGUGCCAGCCGCCGCGGUAA